UCCCGGCGCCGCAACCAAUGGAUCUCCUCCUCUGUUUAAAUAGACUUGCGGUGUCAAUCAUUUUCUUCUUCGUCAGCCUCCCUUCCACCGCCAUAUUGGGCAACUAAGAAAAGGGGGCUCGUCUUUUCGGGGUGUUCUUCUCCCACUCCCCUCUUGCUCAUCCCUCCGCGACUCUGACGCCGGCAAGGUUUGGAGAGCCGCUCGGUUCGCGCGACCCGCGGGCUUGCACCAGCCUGGACUCGGACGGGCUCUGCCGCCCCCGCCUCUCGCCUCUCCCCUCCCCUCCCCGCCCUCCCGCUCCCCGUACACUUGAUCGGCGGAGACUUGGGGCUGCCUGGCCGGGGCUUCCCCCUCACCCCUCCCUAGACCCAGCGCGCUCCUGACGCUCGCCAGUUACUUGUUGGGGUUUGUUUCUCUUGGCUCCCAGGGCAGGCGCAGGGCUUAUAAGAGCAGUUCGGGCUGGGUCGGGGCGUUUUGUUUUGUUCGGUUUUGUUUUGCGAGAGCGCGCGCGAGAGGCGGUCGUAAAGACCUGGGAGGAAGAUGUCAACCGUGAGAGUGUCUAACGGGAGCCCGAGCCUGGAGCGGAUGGACGCCAGGCAGGCGGAGUACCCCAAGCCCUCCGCCUGCAGAAACCUCUUCGGCCCCGUCGAUCACGAAGAGUUAACCCGGGACUUGGAGAAGCAUUGCCGGGACAUGGAAGAGGCGAGCCAGCGCAAGUGGAAUUUUGAUUUUAAGAACCACAAGCCCCUGGAGGGCAGAUACGAGUGGCAGGAGGUGGAAAAGGCCAGCCUGCCCGAGUUCUACUACCGCGCCCCACGGCCACCCAAAGGCGCCUGUAAGGUGCCCGCGCAGGAGAGCCAGGAUGUCAGCGGGAGCCGCCAGGCGGUGCCUCUCGUCGUGUCCCAGGCAAACUCGGAGGACUCGCACUUGGCGGAGCAAAAGACUGAUGCGUCCGACAGCCAGCCGGGCUUGGCGGAGCCGUGCGCCGGGAUGAGGAAGCGACCUGCAGCAGACGAUGCCUCUUCGCAAAACAAAAGAACCAACAGAACAGAUGAAAAUGUUUCAGACGGUUCCCCGAACGCGGGCUCCGUGGAGCAGACGCCCAAGAAGCCGGGCCUCAGAAAACGUCAAACGUAAAGUGCUCGGGUGGGUUGAUGACCAGGAGCUAAUAACUGGCACCCGAAUCGGGCUGCAGGAACUCUCUGAGCUUUCCAACCCCAAGAUAACCUGAUCUCAGUGGCUGCCGGCAGAUUAGAGCUUAAUUGAGACUAUGUUUCCUUGUUUAUCAGAUACAUCACUGCUUGGCGAAGCAAGGAAGAUAUGAAUUAAACAUUUUAAAUACAUAUCGCUGACUCCAUGGAAUGGAUGUCCUGUAUAAGCACUGAAAAGUAACAACACAAUAACACUAAAAUUUUAGGCACUCUUAAGUGAUCUGCCUCUAAAAGCAUUGGAUGUAGCAUCGUGCAAUUAGGUUUUUCCUUAUUUGCUUCAUUGUACUACCUGUGUAUAUAGUUUUUAUCUUUUAUGUAGCACAUAAACUCUGGGGAAGGGAGAGGAGGGGGGGAGAGGGGGGAGCUGAGGAAUUGGCUUUGGGAGGUAUGAAGAGCUUGCUUCGAUUUAGAGCAAGGAGAAAAUUAUUUGACUUAACAUGAAGAGAAGCAGUUUAAGGAAAGGGUUUGAAUUGUUUUCUUUAAAGUUGUAAUGUCCCUUUCAGUGAAAACUGAUACUUCGUUUUAAAAAUCAUCCAAAUUUGAACACUGGCUGCAGAUAACUGCUAUUUAUUUUUUACAUGAAGCUAUUUUUUUCAUUUGGGAGCUCUGAUUAUUCCGUUAUGUAGCAGUAAAUGGCUUUUUUUUUUUUUUUUUUUAACAACAACAAAAAACUGUCUUUAGUGCUCCCCUUAAAAUUGGAAUUUACCAGUUAAUUAUUUAGCAGUUAGGUAAUCACUCCAGGUAAUUAUAGGCAAAAAAAUAUAAAUGGAGGGGGGGAGUCUGAAUGCUCAGAAUCAACCAUCUAAUUUUUAUCAGAUUUGUUGAGAAAAUUUCUGAAUUUUCUUUUCACUUUGGGCUGUGUAGACAAAGUCAAAAUAAUUCUAAAUCCUUGGAUAUUUUUAAAAGAUCUGUAAGUAAUUUCACAUGAAAAAUAAUGAAAUAAUUUUAAAUUUAAAGCUUCUUAUUCUAUUUGCUAAUUUGCCCAAAGGAAAGUAGUGUUUUAAGAGGAAAGUGUGUAUACAAAAAGCCCGUCUGGUAUAAGUGAAAUGGAUACUACAUCUUUAAACAGUAUUUUUCAUUUCCUGUGUAUGUGUAUGAAAAAAAAAAAAAACCAUUUGAAGUGUACCUGUGUACAUAACUCUGUAAAGACACUGAAAAAUUAUACUAACUUAUUUAUGUUAAAAAAAGAUUUUUUUUUUAAUCUAGACAAUAUACAAGCCAAAGUGGCAUGUUUUGUGCAUUUGUAUAUGCUGUAUUGGGUAGAAUAGAUUUUUCCCCCUUCUUCUGUUAAAUAAUAUGGCUGUGCUUAAAAGGUUGCAUACUGAGCCAAGUAUAAUUUUUUGCAAUGUGUGAAAAGAUGCCAAUUAUUGUUACAUAUCAAACAAUCAAUAAAGAAAGCUUCCAUAACUGUUCAUUGA